rnacentral:misc_RNA from 1 species
UUUCCGUAGGUGAACCUGCGGAAGGAUCAUUACAAAAUGUUAUGGGAUGUCCUAACGGGCACCCAAGCAAACACUUCCAUAUUAAACUUUUGAAACAAUUACUAGUCUGAUAGGGCCAUAUGCUGUAAAAAUUUAAAUAUAUUAAAACUUUCAACAACGGAUCUCUUGGCUCUC